rnacentral:rRNA from 1 species
GCCCAGGGUAAGUCGGGACCUAAGGCGAGGCCGACAGGCGUAGUCGAUGGACAACGGGUUGAUAUUCCCGUACCCGCUUUGAAGCGCCAACGCUGAACCUUCUGAUGCUAAGCCCGUGAAGCCGUCCCGGAGCCUUCGGGCAAAGGGAAGUGGUGGAGCCGGUGACCCAACGGGGUAGUAGGUGAGCGAUGGGGUGACGCAGGAAGGUAGUCCAGCCCGGGCGGUGGUUGUCCCGGGGUAAGGGUGUAGGACGUGGGGUAGGCAAAUCCGCCUCACAUAUAGUCUGAGACCUGAUGCCGAGCCGAUUGUGGUGAAGUGGAUGAUCCUAUGCUGUCGAGAAAAGCCUCUAGCGAGUUUCAUGGCGGCCCGUACCCCAAACCGA